GUCGUAACAAGGUUUCCGUAGGUGAACCUGCGGAAGGAUCAUUACCGAGUGCGGGCCCCUCGGGGCCCAACCUCCCACCCGUGUUGCCCGAACCUAUGUUGCCUCGGCGGGCCCCGCGCCCGCCGACGGCCCCCCUGAACGCUGUCUGAAGUUGCAGUCUGAGACCUAUAACGAAAUUAGUUAAAACUUUCAACAACGGAUCUCUUGGUUCCGGCAUCGAUGAAGAACGCAGCGAAAUGCGAUAACUAAUGUGAAUUGCAGAAUUCAGUGAAUCAUCGAGUCUUUGAACGCACAUUGCGCCCUCUGGUAUUCCGGAGGGCAUGCCUGUCCGAGCGUCAUUGCUGCCCUCAAGCCCGGCUUGUGUGUUGGGCCCCGUCCCCCCCGCCGGGGGGACGGGCCCGAAAGGCAGCGGCGGCACCGCGUCCGGUCCUCGAGCGUAUGGGGCUUCGUCACCCGCUCUAGUAGGCCCGGCCGGCGCCAGCCGACCCCCAACCUUUAAUUAUCUCAGGUUGACCUCGGAUCAGGUAGGGAUACCCGCUGAACCUAAGCAUAUCA
rnacentral:misc_RNA from 1 species